AUUGAACGCUGGCGGAAUGCUUUACACAUGCAAGUCGAACGGUAGAGGGGGCAACCCCUCGAGAGUGGCGAACGGGUGAGUAAUAUAUCGGAACGUGCCCAGUCGUGGGGGAUAACGUAGCGAAAGUUACGCUAAUACCGCAUACGAUCUAAGGAUGAAAGCGGGGGAUCGCAAGACCUCGCGCGAUUGGAGCGGCCGAUAUCAGAUUAGGUAGUUGGUGGGGUAAAGGCUCACCAAGCCAACGAUCUGUAGCUGGUCUGAGAGGACGACCAGCCACACUGGAACUGAGACACGGUCCAGACUCCUACGGGAGGCAGCAGUGGGGAAUUUUGGACAAUGGACGCAAGUCUGAUCCAGCCAUUCCGCGUGCAGGAUGAAGGCCCUCGGGUUGUAAACUGCUUUUGUACGGAACGAAAAGGUCUCUCCUAAUACGAGGGGCUCAUGACGGUACCGUAAGAAUAAGCACCGGCUAACUACGUGCCAGCCGCCGCCGUAACAC
rnacentral:rRNA from 1 species